rnacentral:rRNA from 1 species
GAUGAACGCUGGCGGCGUGCUUAACACAUGCAAGUCGAACGAUUACCUGGAGCAAUCUGGGUGAUAGUGGCGAACGGGUGAGUAACACGUAGGUGACCUGCCCCAGAGAGGGGAAUAACUACUGGAAACGGUGGCUAAUACCCCAUGUGCUCGGCAGUUCGGUCUGUCGAGUAAAGCUCCGGCGCUCUGGGAGGGGCCUGCGGCCCAUCAGGUAGUUGGUAGGGUAAUGGCCUACCAAGCCUAUGACGGGUAGGGGGCGUGAGAGCGUGAUCCCCCACACUGGCACUGAGACACGGGCCAGACUCCUACGGGUGGCAG